UUGUCAGCCCUGGAGACAGAAGUCCCCUAUCAACAGAAAGGUUGCUGCAAUGCAAAGUGGCAAUUUGCAUUUCCUACAAUGACUUGCUGGUGUGCCAGAGCCCUGACCUAAAAGGACUACCUUUAAGCUUGACAACGUGGUUUAGUUUCCACACCUCAUUCCCAGCCUUGU
ensembl:misc_RNA